GAGCGGCGAACGGGUGAGUAACACGUGAGUAACCUGCCCCAGACUUUGGGAUAACCCUCGGAAACGGGGGCUAAUACCGAAUAUGACUUCUGGUCGCAUGACCGGGUGUGGAAAGUUUUUCGGUUUGGGAUGGACUCGCGGCCUAUCAGCUUGUUGGUGGGGUAAUGGCCUACCAAGGCGACGACGGGUAGCCGGCCUGAGAGGGCGACCGGCCACACUGGGACUGAGACACGGCCCAGACUCCUACGGGAGGCAGCAGUGGGGAAUAUUGCACAAUGGGCGGAAGCCUGAUGCAGCGACGCCGCGUGAGGGAUGACGGCCUUCGGGUUGUAAACCUCUUUCAGCAGGGACGAAGCGUAAGUGACGGUACCUGCAGAAGAAGCGCCGGCCAACUACGUGCCAGCAGCCGCGGUAAGACGUAGGGCGCGAGCGUUGUCCGGAUUUAUUGGGNGUAAAGAGCUCGUAGGCGGCUUGUCGCGUCGACUGUGAAAACUUGGGGCUCAACUCCAAGCUUGCAGUCGAUACGGGCAGGCUAGAGUUCGGUAGGGGAGACUGGAAUUCCU
rnacentral:rRNA from 1 species